rnacentral:misc_RNA from 1 species
GAUGAAGAACGCAGUGAAAUGCGAUAAGUAAUGUGAAUUGCAGAAUUCAGUGAAUCAUCGAAUCUUUGAACGCACAUUGCGCCCGCCAGUAUUCUGGCGGGCAUGCCUGUCUGAGCGUCAUUUCAACCCUCAUGCCCCUAGGGCGUGGUGUUGGGGAUCGGCCAAAGCCCGCGAGGGACGGCCGGCCCCUAAAUCUAGUGGCGGACCCGUCGUGGCCUCCUCUGCGAAGUAGUGAUAUUCCGCAUCGGAGAGCGACGAGCCCCUGCCGUUAAACCCCCAACUUUCCAAGGUUGACCUCAGAUCAGGUAGGAAUACCCGCUGAACUUAAGCAUAUCAAUAAGCGGACGA